UAGGGAAUCUUCCGCAAUGGGCGAAAGCCUGACGGAGCAACGCCGCGUGAGUGAUGAAGGUCUUCGGAUCGUAAAACUCUGUUAUUAGGGAAGAACAAAUGUGUAAGUAACUAUGCACGUCUUGACGGUACCUAAUCAGAAAGCCACGGCUAACUACGUGCCAGCAGCCGCGGUAAUACGUAGGUGGCAAGCGUUAUCCGGAAUUAUUGGGCGUAAAGCGCGCGUAGGCGGUUUUUUAAGUCUGAUGUGAAAGCCCACGGCUCAACCGUGGAGGGGCAUUGGAAAAUGGAAAAAUUGAGUGCAGAAGAGGAAAGUGGAAUUCCAUGUGUAGCGGUGAAAUGCGCAGGGAUAUGGAGGAACACCAGUGGCGAAGGCGACUUUCUGGUCUGUAACUGACGCUGAUGGGCGAAAGCGUGGGGAUCAAAAAGG
rnacentral:rRNA from 1 species